GACGAACGCUGGCGGCGUGCUUAACACAUGCAAGUCGAACGGAAAGGCCCUGCUUGCAGGGUACUCGAGUGGCGAACGGGUGAGUAACACGUGGGUGAUCUGCCCUGCACUUCGGGAUAAGCCUGGGAAACUGGGUCUAAUACCGGAUAGGAGCCAUUUUUAGUGUGAUGGUUGGAAAGUUUUUUCGGUGUAGGAUGAGCUCGCGGCCUAUCAGCUUGUUGGUGGGGUAAUGGCCUACCAAGGCGGCGACGGGUAGCCGGCCUGAGAGGGUGGACGGCCACAUCGGGACUGAGAUACGGCCCAGACUCCUACGGGAGGCAGCAGUGGGGAAUAUUGCACAAUGGGCGCAAGCCUGAUGCAGCGACGCCGCGUGGGGGAUGACGGCCUUCGGGUUGUAAACUCCUUUCGCUAGGGACGAAGCUUU
rnacentral:rRNA from 1 species